UGAUUAAAAAGGAGCCAAUUAAAACUCCUCAUUUAAGCUCGUAUAGUAACAGUAUUUUGUGAUCUGUCUUUACAGUUGCCGACAUCUUAGGCUUUGCCAUUGGAAAGAUGUCAUAUAUAGGUGAAUGCCAAAAAAAAGUUCCAGAAAAUUGGUAUUGCACCAUUUGUUCCACCACAGAAAAGGCAUUGUCAUCAUACUUGCAAAGAAUGUGAAGCAAAAUUGGGAUCAAAUGAGAAAGAAGGUCCAAUGCCUUUAGCAUCUUAGUCUCAGGUCUGCAGAGCCCAUUCAGAAGCAUAGUCUGAAAACAAACUCAAGGUGAGUGGAUUUUUUUCAAGAAAAAGCCAUUAUAUUUGGGCCAAUGUGGUAUUUCAAAUUUAGCUGGAACCAGUUUUGAUGGACAGGUUUUUGAAAUUUAGGAAAAUAAAUACUGUAAGCAUGGGUUGUUUUCUGUAUUG
rnacentral:lncRNA from 1 species